rnacentral:rRNA from 1 species
UACGGGGGGGGCAAGCGUUGUUCGGAAUUACUGGGCGUAAAGGGCUCGUAGGCGGCCAACUAAGUCAUACGUGAAAUCCCUCGGCUUAACCGGGGAACUGCGUCUGAUACUGGAUGGCUUGAGUUCGGGAGAGGGAUGCGGAAUUCCAGGUGUAGCGGUGAAAUGCGUAGAUAUCUGGAGGAACACCGGUGGCGAAGGCAGCAUCCUGGACCGAUACUGACGCUGAUGAGCGAAAGCCAGGGGAGCAAACGGG